rnacentral:rRNA from 1 species
CCUACGGGAGGCAGCAGUGGGGGAUAUUGCACAAUGGGGGGAAGCCUGAUGCAGCGACGCCGCGUGGGUGAAGAAGCGCCUCGGCGCGUAAAGCCCUGUCAGCAGGGAAGACAAUGACGGUACCUGAAGAAGAAGCCCCGGCUAACUACGUGCCAGCAGCCGCGGUACUACGUAGGGGGCAAGCGUUAUCCGGCUUUACUGCGUGUAAAGGGGGCGCAGUCGGCGAUGCAAGCCAGGAGUGAAAGCCCGGGGCCCAACCCCGGGACUGCUCUUGGAACUGCGUGGCUGGAGUGCAGGAGGGGCAGGCGGAAUUCCUGGUGUAGCGGUGAAAUGCGUAGAUAGCAGGAGGAACACCGGUGGCGAAGGCGGCCUGCUGGACUGCAACUGACGUUGAGGCCCGAAAGCGUGGGGAGCAAACAGGAUUAGAUACCCCUGUAGUC